AGGGCUGACGCUCAGUUGGUAGAGCAGAGGACUGAAAAUCCUCGUUGUCUUACUCAAAGUCUACGGUUCGAGUCCGUAUAGCCCGA
rnacentral:tRNA from 1 species